ACUAUGCCUAGUAGUAAACUUUAACUUACCCUUACAUCGCCCGGGAACUACGAGCCAAGCUUAAAACCCAAAGGACUUGACGGUACCCCAUAUCCCCCUAGAGGAGCCUGUCCUAUAAUCGAUAAUCCCCGUUUAACCUCACCAUUUUUUGCUAAUCAGCCUGUAUACCUCCGUCGUCAGCUUACCACGUGAGCGUCAGUGAGCCUAAUGUUUUUCCAACUAUACGUCAGGUCAAGGUGCAACAUAUAAAAUGGAAAGAGAUGGGCUACACUUUCUAUCAUAGAAUAAACGAAAGACUAAAUGAAACCUGGUCAGAAGGCGGAUUUAGUAGUAAAAUGAAACUAGAGCGUUCACUUAAAUACGGCACUGGGGUGUGUACACACCGCCCGUCACCCUCCUCAACUCUGCAUAAAAGUUUUUAACGCCUUUUCNGAGACUCAGA
rnacentral:rRNA from 1 species